GACGAACCGAGCGAACGUUGUUCGGAAUCACUGGGCGUAAAGGGCGCGUAGGCGGCCUUGUAAGUCCUGUGUGAAAUCCCCCGGCUCAACUGGGGAACUGCACAGGAGACUGCUUGGCUUGAGUUCGGGAGAGGGAAGCGGAAUUCCGGGUGUAGCGGUGAAAUGCGUAGAUAUCCGGAGGAACACCGGUGGCGAAGGCGGCUUCCUGGACCGACACUGACGCUGAGGCGCGAAAGCCAGGGGAGCAAACGGG
rnacentral:rRNA from 1 species